UACAGAGGGUCCAAACGUUGUUCGGAAUCACUGGGCUUAAAGCGCACGUAGGUGGUUCGGUAAGUUCGAUGUGAAAGCCCCCGGCCUAACCGGGGAACUGCAUCGCGGACUGCCGAGCUUGAGAGCGGUAGGGGAGACUAGAACUCCUGGUGGAGCGGUGGAAUGCGUAGAUAUCAGGAGGAAGACCGGUGGCGAAGGCGAGUCUCUGGUCCGCUUCUGACACUGAGGUGCGAAAGCUAGGGGAGCAAACGGG
rnacentral:rRNA from 1 species